AGUUUUCUUUGUUCAAUAUUAAGAUAAUGGGGAGAGGGAAAGUGGAGUUUAAAAGGAUCGAGAACAAGAUAAACCGACAAAUAACGUUUGCAAAGAGGAGGAAUGGGUUGCUGAAAAAGGCUUACGAGCUCUCGAUUCUUUGCGAAGC